rnacentral:lncRNA from 1 species
AGCAUGGCUGCCUUAGGGACCUGGCUAUCCAUAGGUGUCCGGAGGUUGCACAGUAGUGCAGUGGCGCGGGCCGGCAGCCAGUGGCGACUCCAGUGAGUGCCGGGCGGGGACGCGGCGGGACCUGGCAUCCCGCCGAUUACUCACCCCCACUGUUUUUACCUCACCCAGGCAAGGGCUGGCUGCCAAUCCUUCCGGCUAUGGGCCCCUCACGGAGCUUCCUGACUGGUCUUUCGCGGGUGAGCCUUGAUGUCAAGGUUUUUUUUCUUUUUCCUCUGAGACCACCCGGUUGUAGGGAUUGGGGGGCGUGUCUGGGAAAAUACUGAACCUUUUACUUAGGCAAGAGUUCGAAGCUCUAAUUUUGUCUGACUACAUAGCUGAGUGUUAGUUCACCCCUGAAGUUUUAGCUUUGGAGAGUUGAGGCAGAGGGAUUGCUGUGAGGCAAAUGCUAUGUAGGGAACCCCUGAUUAUCCUGAACUACAGAAUGAGACCCUGUGUAUCAAUAAAUAAUAAAAAGGCUAAGGAAAGUAAUCUGUAGGGGAUCGUGCCCAGGAGAUACAAGGUAAUUCUAACUUGGGCUGUCCUGGGGGCUGGAAGUGUGUGUGACUUUUAUCCCCUCAGAAGUGGUAUUUUGAGAAUUUGGUUGCAAAUACACAAGGAAUUCUUUGAAAAGCUGCUGAAGAGAACACUGAAGAUCCCUACAACUCUGAAUAUGGCAGACUCAAUACAGGGAAGUCUCUUUUAAAAAAAAAAAAAGCGAAUGAGCUGUCGACACGCCUCGAGAUACGCCUCUAAUGCAGUGACUGUUCUUCCGGAGGAUUUGGGAUCGAUUCUCAACACCCACAUGGUGACUCAAAAUUGCUUGUAACUCCAGUUCCAAGAUCUCUGAUGUCAUCUUUAAGCUUCCACCUGUACCAUGCACCCACACGGUGUUCAGACAUACAUGCAAGGAAAACACCCAAUCACAUUAAGAUAAAACUUUUAAAAGGGUAAUGACACAUACCUGCAAUCAGCACUCAGGAGGCAGAAGCACUCAGAGCUACAUUGUCAAACCUCGCCUCAAAAAAAUCAAAAGUGGGGAAGAAGAAAAAAAAAAAAGCCCUGCAUUUCAUUAUACAGUGAGAUGAAGUUUAGCAAAGACUUACACUGAGUGAAGGGUUUCUGAAGGAAAAAUUAAUUCAGCAUGGCAGACCACCCUAGGUCCGUGCUAUUGACAGGGUUAAAUGAUAGGACCAUGCCUAGGAACUCCGUUUUCAUGAUUCUGUUGUACCUCACCACGGAUGCUAGAUGAGUUUCAGCUGUGGUUGUGAACUGGGUUCCUCUUCAGUAUUAUUUUUGGUGAGCAGAACUGGGACCUGAACCUAGGGCCUCACACAUGCUAUCCCCGACCCCAACCAUAGUCUGUGUGAACUGAAGAGGAAAGCUAGAGAUUUACUCUCUUCUUAAUUCCUAUCACACCAGUGUUUGGACAAGAUGCCCAGACCACAUUGAACACUUUGCCUUUCUUUCAAUUUUAUCUGUAGAUGGCCGCCCUGCUCCCCCAAUGAAAGGCCAACUUCGAAGAGAAGCUCAAAGGGAGAAGCUUGCAAGACGAGUUGUGCUGCUGACACAGGAAAUGGAUGCAGGAUUACAGGCAUGGAAGCUCAGGCAGCAGAAACUGCAGGAAGAAAGGAAGCAGAAACAUGACCUUAAACCUAAAGGGACGUCACUGAGGAACCCACUUCCAAAUCAAUAAAAAGCUCCUGUCCCACUU